GACGAACGCUGGCGGCGUGCCUAACACAUGCAAGUCGAGCGGGAAAGUUCCCUUCGGGGAGCGAGUACAGCGGCGAACGGGUGAGUAACACGUAGGCAACCUACCCCGGAGACCGGGAGUAACCUGUCGAAAGGACGGGCGUAAUACCGGAUAAGACCACGAGGGCCUCGGCCCUUGAGGUAAAAGGUAGGCCGUCUGCUUGCAAGCUAUCACUCCAGGAUGGGCCUGCGCGCCAUUAGCUAGUUGGUGAGGUAACGGCUCACCAAGUCGAAGAUGGCUAGCUGGUCUGAGAGGAUGGCCAGCCACACUGGGACUGAGAUACGGCCCAGACUCCUACGGAGGCAGCAGUGGGAAUCUUGCGCAAUGGGCGAAAGCCUGACGCAGCGACGCCGCGUGGGUGAUGAAGGCCUGGUCGUAA
rnacentral:rRNA from 1 species